CGAGGCGGGCCGGCACGUUUACUUUGAACAAAUUAGAGUGCUUAAAGCAGGCUAAAACUUCGCCUGAAUAUCGUGUGCAUGGAAUAAUGGAAUAGGACCUCGGUUCUAUUUUGUUGGUUUUCGGAACCCCGAGGUAAUGAUUAAUAGGAACGGAUGGGGGCAUUCGUAUUGCGACGUUAGAGGUGAAAUUCUUGGAUCGUCGCAAGACGGACGGAAGCGAAAGCAUUUGCCAAAAACGCUUUCAUUGAUCAAGAACGAAAGUUAGAGGUUCGAAGGCGAUCAGAUACCGCCCUAGUUCUAACCAUAAACGAUGCCAGCUAGCGAUCCGCCGACGUUCCUCCGAUGACUCGGCGGGCAGCUUCCGGGAAACCAAAGCUUUUGGGUUCCGGGGGAAGUAUGGUUGCAAAGCUGAAACUUAAAGGAAUUGACGGAAGGGCACCACCAGGAGUGGAGCCUGCGGCUUAAUUUGACUCAACACGGGAAACCUCACCAGGCCCGGACACCGGAAGGAUUGACAGAUUGAGAGCUCUUUCUUGAUUCGGUGGGUGGUGGUGCAUGGCCGUUCUUAGUUGGUGGAGCGAUUUGUCUGGUUAAU
rnacentral:rRNA from 1 species